AAAUAGCAUUUUUUUUUCCAGGAUUUCAAAUUUAAAUUUUGAAAUGGACUAAAUUAAACACAAACCCCACUUCAACAAUUUGUUAAAAAGUAUCCUCAACUCAAGAUUCACUACACAGAAUUCCAAAAUUCACCAAAAAUGGAAAACAAAAAAUGAAUUCCAUAAACGGUUAACCGAAUUCCAAAUAUUCUCUCUUUCUUCCAACUCAAUUUCAUUCAUCAAUGGCGAAUCAGAGCAAAGAUUUACCCAUGGAAUGCUGGGAAUUGAUAUUCAAUCGACUAACUCACCAAUCCGACUUGGAAUCAUUUUCACUGGUGUGUAAACAGUUUCUUGCUUUGACAAAUCGGCUACGACUCAGUUUGUCGGUAAUUGACUCUACUUUGCUCAUCCACGGUACUAUAGCGAAACUCAUUCACCGUUUUCCGAAUCUUAGUUCCAUAGAUUUGAGUAAUUUUAGCGGUGAUCUUGAUCCUGUUCUUGUUGAUCUUGCUAAUUCUGUUUCGUAUACAUCGAAAAUCGAGAAACUUGAUGUAUCGAAUCGGAAGAAGUUGCCAGUUAAGGGGUUGAGGGAGUUGGCUGGGAACUUGAAGGGGUUGAGGGUUUUGAAUUGUAGUAAUGUGAGUGUUUUGUGUGAUUAUGAUCUGUAUGUUAUUGCUGAUUUGUUUCCGUAUUUGGAAGAGAUAGAUAUUAGCUAUCCGAGUAUGGAUUAUGUUGUGGAUAGGGGGUAUAUUGCUUCUGAGGCUAGUAAAUUGGCUGUGACUGAUGAUGGGAUUGAGGUUUUAUCGGUGAAAUUGAGUGGCUUGCGGAGGAUUAAUAUUGCGGGGAAUCAUUUGAUUACUGAUAGGUCACUUGUUGCACUUUCGAUGAAUUGUUUGAAUUUAGAAGGCGUUGAGAUGGAUGAUUGCCCUUUUGUUACUUUGAAAGGUAUACUUUCUAUACUGCGUACUUGUGCUGCGUUGAGUUGGAUUUCAGUAUCUGAGAUUCGCAUUGAUAAAACGAGUUCUGGUUUUGAAUGUUUGGCUACUUCUAGCCGAACUUUACAGAAACUCGAGGUUGCCAAUUCGAGUAUCUCGGAUGAAUUCCUCUUCAUGGUGGCUAAUGCUUGUUUACCUUUGAAUACGCUUUCACUUUGUUGGUGUAGUGAUUUUACAUUAUCUGGUAUCUCUAAGCUGUUGUGUGCCUACCGGUCACUGAAGUUCGUAUCUUUGGAUGAGGUAGAGCUUUUGACAGAUGAGUAUAUGAAUGAGAUAUCCCAAUAUCUAAGAUGUCUUGCUACCAUUCAUCUCGGUGGUUGUGUGAGAUUGACCAAUUUGACAUUCUUCACACUUGCAAGGAACUGUCCUUUACUAGAGCAAGUUUACAUGGAAAAUACUGGUUUUGGGACGAAGGACUGUUUUCAGCAUGGUGUAAAGAACCUGAGAAUCAGGGAUGUUAAUUUGUCAAGUAACAGGUACCUAGAUGAUGAUGCUCUCAUGAACGUUGCUUUGAUUUGCCCCAACAUGGAUUUUCUAGAUGUUUCAUCGUGUAAUUGUCUUACAGAGGCAGGUAUUAUUUCUGCUCUUGAGGUGUGCAAUCAGAUAAGGAAUUUGCAACUUGAUAACUGUCCAGGGAUUAAGCAUAUCGGGAAAGGCGCAGAAUUGCCUAAUGUUGAGGUAAUUAGUGCAGCUGGUUCAGCAAUAAAUGAUGAAGGCCUGGCCAUGAUCGGAAACAGAUGUUCUCGCCUGCUGAAAUUAAACUUGGAGAACUGUAAAGGAGUGACUGCAGAGGGCUUACAUGCUAUAGUGAAAAACUGUAGAUCAUUGAGAGAUAUAAACUUGAAGAGGUGUCCUCAAGUUAGUAUCAAUUCUCUAAAUAGUUUGGUGUUUUCGUCUUCAUCACUAAGGAGAGUUAUUCCUCCCUGUUGCUCUGCUUUCACUGAUAGCUUGAGGGGAUUUUACUUGCACCACGGAUGUCGAGUGUACUCAGGCUAGUCUUUUCUUGGUACGUAGCACCCCUUUGGUUUCAAACAUUUUCCAUUUUCUUAUUUCUUGUGUGAUGUGUCAAUCGAUAAGUAAUCCUGUUUUUUCAUUCUUGUUAACCAAAUGUUGAAUUCUCCUGUAUUCGUUGAAAGUGGAAAUAGAGGAGCAACCUGCUAUCAUGAUGGGUGUUCUUUUUUAUAGAGUAUAAUUUUACGAUUUAAGUUUUGAUUCUUCAGAACAUUUCUGGAUUAGAUAUGGUUUCAAAUUAUUCUUGUAUAAUUAUAAAUUAGAUUUGAUUUGAUAUAAGCAUGUUUAUUAGGUGCUUAAUAAGUGAAAAUAACACUAACCAUUCAAAUCAUUCCUUCUAUAUCAAUCUUUUCACAUUGUAUAACAACAUACAGAAGUUUUGGAUUCGAGUUGCAGCGUCACUUGCACAUACUUGGUUCGGAAACAGAAUUAGGCCUGUAAGUAAAAAUGUGCACUCUCUUUAGAAACUAGCAUAAUACUAGAAUUUUAAUAAAAUAUGAUUUGCUUAUUUGGUAAUAUUAUAUAAGAAUUGACAAGUUUAGAUAGUUUUGACAGUUUAUGAGAAAAAAAUACAAUUUUAAAAAUCUAAAUUUUAUGUAUAACCCUCCCCAGACCCCAAUUGGUGGGAAUACACUGGGUUUGUUGUUGUUGUUGUAAAUUUUAUGUAUAAAUAAAAUUUCAUCUUCAAAUUCAAACUGGCCCUUAUGAUAAGAAGGGAGCUAUUUCCCCUCGCAUCUCAAAUUUGAAUCUUGAAAUGGACUAAAUCAAACACAAUCUACUAGUUCUUGGCUGGUCCAUCAAUAACGUAAAAGUAUAGACCCCACUUCAACAAUUUGACAAAGUGGUCACUUACUAAAUUCCAAGUUUUGCCAAAGAAAACAAUUCCAUAUUAACUGAACUCAAAAUCCCCUCUCUUUAUUCCAACUCAAUUUUCCUUUGCAAUUUUUAGCCCUAAUUAGCUCAAUACCAUGGCGAAUCAGUGGAAGGAUUUGCCAGUAGAAUGCUGGGAAAUGAUAUUCAAUCGUCUGCAUGACCAAUCCGAUUUGGAAUCAUUUUCUCUUGUAUGCAAACCGUUUCUUGCUUUGACAAAUUGUCUCCGUCUAAGUUUGUCUGUUAUCGACUCCACUUUGCUCAUCCAUGGUACCAUAUCGAAACUCAUUCAUCGUUUUCCGAAUCUUAAUUCCAUUGAUCUUAGUAAGCUUAGCUGUGAUCUUGACCCUGUUCUUGUUGAUCUUGCUAAUUCGAUCUCGUAUACAUCCAAUCUCGAACAACUUUGUGUUUCGAAUAGGAAAAAAUUACCCAUUAAAGGGUUGAAGGAAUUGGGUCGGAAAUUAAAGGGCUUGAGGGUUUUAACAUGUAGUAAUGUCAUUCUUUUGGAUGAUUCCGAUUUGUAUGUUAUUGCUGAUUUGUUUCCAUAUUUGGAAGAGCUAGAUAUUAGUAAUCCACACUCGGUUUUUGUUUUUAAUUCUUUUCGCAUGGCUUCUGAGGCUGGUAAGUUGGCGGUGACUGAUUCAGGGGUUGAGGUUUUGUCGAUGAAAAUGAGUAGCUUGUGGAAGAUUAAUAUUACUGGGAAUUGUUUGAUUACGGAUAGGUCUCUUGUUGCACUUUCUAUGAAUUGUUUGAAUUUAGAAGCGAUUGAGAUGGAAAAUUGCCGUUUGGUUACACUAAAAGGGAUCCUUUCUAUAUUGCGUGCUUGUGCUGCGUUGAGUUGGAUUUCAGUGUCUAAGAUUCACAUUGGUCGAUCGAGCUCUGGUUUUGAAUGUUUGGCUACUUCUAGACGAACGUUACAGAAAUUCGAGGUUUCCAGCUCGAGUAUCUCGGACGAAUUCCUCUUCAUGUUGGCUAAUGCUUCUCUCCCUUUGAAUACACUUUCACUUUGUUGGUGUACAGAUUUUACAUUGUCGGGUAUCUCUAAGCUAUUGUGUGCAUACCAGUCACUAAAGUCCAUAUCUUUGUUUCAAGUAGAAUUUUUGACAGAUGAGUGUAUGAAUGAGAUAUCCCAAUAUCUACGAUGUCUUGUCACCAUUCGUCUCAGCGGUUGUAAGAGAUUGACCAAUUUGGCGUUCUUCACACUUGCAAGAAACUGUCCUUCACUAGAGGAAGUUUACAUGGAAAAUACUGGUUUUUGGACGAAGGAUUGUUUUCAUAAUGGUGUAAUGAACCCGAGAAUCAGGGUUGUUGAUUUGUCAAGUUACUGGUACCUAGAUGAUGAAUCUCUCAUGAUGGUUGCUUUGAUGUGCCCCAACCUGGAAUGUCUUGCUGUGCGAUAUUGUGGUAGUCUUUCAGAGGCAGGUAUUAUUUAUGCUCUUGAGGUGUGCAAUCAGAUAAGGGAUUUGAGAUUUGAUGGCUGUCCAGGGAUUAAACAUAUCGGAGAAGGCGCGGAAUUGCCUAAUCUUGAGGUUAUUAGUGCAGUUGGUUCAGCAUUAAAUGAUAAAGGCCUGGUCAUGAUCGAAAGCAGAUGUUCUCGCCUGAUGAAAUUAAACUUGCAGAACUGUGAAGGAGUGACAGCAGAGGGCUUACAUGCAAUCGUGAAAAAUUGUAGAUCAUGGAGAGAGAUAAACUUGAGGUCCUCAAGUUAGUAUCCAUUCUCUAAAUAGUUUGGUGUUUUUGUCUUCAGCACCAAGGGGAUUUAUUCCGCCCUGUUGCUCUGCUUUUACUGAUAGCUUGAGGGGAUUUUACUUGCACCAUGGAUAUCUGUACUCAGAUUCUGGUGCUCAUUCUCAAGCUCGUGGCUAGAUAGUGGCAGAUUCCUUCUCAGAAGUUUGCGAGUUCUCUUCGUCCGGGGACGUAGCAGAGUUGGCUUCCUAGUUUCUUUCAGUUCAGACAUUGUUUUGUUUUAUGGGUAGGACCGGGGCCUUGUCCCGGCAAACUUAUUUCCUUCAGUAAUUAGAGGCUUGACAAACAUAAGUAUUUGGUUUUGUAUUUAGACAUCUUUUGAUUUUCAGAAUCUAGACAUGAUUUUUAGUUCACAGCUUCUGCUUUA